rnacentral:lncRNA from 1 species
AUUUUUUUUUUUAUUUUCAAAGAGAAAAAUAAUGUAGUAUCUAUUUUAUUUAUUUUUGAUAGAAAUAUACAAAACUUGUAUGAAUUAUUAACAAGUUUGAAUCAACUAUUCGACAUUUCAAAAUUUUGAUUUUACUAUCCAAUCUUUUAUUUUAUUUUAUUUGAAUAAAUCAAUAAUAUUUUGGCAUUAAAAUUUGAAUUUGUCAUUUAUCUUACAUAUUUAAUUAUUAUACCUCAUGCAAUUUUUUCAAUCAUAAAUUUGUUAAAAUAAUAAAUUAGUAUAAAUUUUAAAGCCAAAGUGCCGUUAACUGGCUCAAAUCAAGCAAAUUAAAAGUCUGCAUGAUAAAAUCAAAUUUUUGAAAGACUGAGUAGUAGAUUCAAAAUGAUUCAUAAUCUUAAUAAUUUUUAUACAUUUUUACCUUCAUUUUAAAAAAUUACCUAAAAAUAUAAAGCAAUUAAAUUUGAAACUUAAAAUCUCGACUACCAGCUAUCAAAUUUUUUGCCACUUGCGCAGGGAUGAGAAAGUAUAAAAAAAAAAACCACAAAAAAAACAAAA